GGGCUUAGCUGUCUCCCUCUCCCAGUCAAUGAAAUUGAUUUCCCCGUGCAGAAGCGGGGAUAAAAACAUAAGACGAGAAGACCCUAUGGAGCUUAAGACGCCAGGACAGCUCAUGUUAAACACUCCAAGAUAAAGGAAAUAAACUAAAUGAAACCCUGCCCUAGUGUCUUUGGUUGGGGCGACCACGGGGAAAAACUUAACCCCCAUGUGGAAUAGGAAUACUAUUUUCCCAGACUCAAGAGCUCCCGCUCUAAUAAACAGAACUUCUGACCAAAAGGAUCCGGCAAUGCCGAUCAACGGACCGAGUUACCCUAGGGAUAACAGCGCAAUCCUCUUAAAGAGUCCCUAUCGACAAGAGGGUUUACGACCUCGAUGUUGGAUCAGGACAUCCUAAUGGUCAGCCCCGCUAA
rnacentral:rRNA from 1 species